UUUGUGCUCUCGUUGAUUGACAGCUGCACUGGGGUUGAGAGGGCGGGACUUCCUGUCCCAACCAGCCCUGAGGGAAACAAACAGGAAAAGGAUUGUACCAGCAGUGAUAUGGUACCACCACCAGGGAGUCCGGCGCAUUUGUAACCAGCAAUAUUUCCUCUGGCAACUCGACACAUACCAGCACUGACUGCGGUUGAGCUCUUUUGCAGCGGUGGCUACCAGCCAUGGUUCCCUGGAUGCCUAGAUGUCCUCACUGGAGAUGCACCCACUGCAUGAGCGCAGCCAAUCCGGUUCUUCUGGGC